AGUUGCUGGCAGGCGAGAUUUAGCUGAAGGACCACCGGAAAUGGGAAAGUGGGGCUGCCUAUGGCACCUCCAGCCGCGAAUUUUGUAGGUUCCUUCUGCAGAUGCUGUUUAACCAACUGCCAGAUGAAGAAAUGACUUUAAUUUGAAUCUAGGAAUUGCCGUUCUUCUUUCCAGCUGUCAUUGCAGGCCACUUCACACGUGACAUAUAUUCACAGGGACACACAUAAAUAAAAGGAUAACUUUUAGAGGGCCACAAUGUUUAUCAGCUGGAGGAUUUUUGCAAUGAAUCAUCAGAGAAUAUUCAGUGUGCAUUUUAAAACUAUGUGUUACUGUAAAAUAAAAGCCAUUUUAAAAAGAUCGAAGACUCCGGUGCCUCUUAGAAGAAACUACAGCUCCCCACCAGGUGUAGUAGGAAAUGAUGUGAAAUCCCUUUAUUCCAUCAUUAGCCCUCCUGUGGCUAAAAUUCGUAAUAUUGGAAUUAUGGCUCAUAUUGAUGCAGGGAAAACUACUACCACAGAACGAAUUUUGUACUAUUCCGGAUACACAAGAUCAUUGGGAGAUGUUGAUGAUGGUGACACAGUGACAGAUUUCAUGGCUCAAGAGCGAGAAAGGGGCAUUACCAUCCAGUCAGCAGCUGUGACAUUUGACUGGAAAGGGUAUAGAGUCAAUUUGAUUGACACACCAGGUCACGUGGACUUUACCCUGGAGGUUGAGCGCUGCUUGAGAGUGUUGGACGGUGCAGUGGCUGUGUUUGAUGCCUCCGCUGGUGUCGAGGCCCAGACUCUCACCGUGUGGAAGCAAGCUGACAAACACAAGAUACCCCGGAUCUGUUUUUUAAACAAGAUGGACAAAACUGGAGCAAGUUUUAACUAUGCAGUUGAAAGCAUCAGGGAGAAGUUAAAGGUGAAACCUCUGCUUCUACAGCUGCCAAUCGGUGAAGCCAGAACUUUCAAAGGAGUGAUUGAUGUAGUAAACAAAGAAAAACUUGUUUGGAAUUCUAACUCUGAUGAUGGAAAAGACUUCGAGAGAAAACCCCUCUUAGAAACAAGUGAUCUGGAAUUGCUGAAGGAGGCUAUUGAAGCAAGGAACUCCUUAAUUGAACAAGUUGCAGAUUUGGAUGAUGAAUUUGCUGACUUGGUUUUAGAAGAAUUUAGUGAAAAUUUUGAUUUGGUACCAGCUGAAAAGUUACAGACUGCAAUACACAGAGUGACACUGGCUCAGGCCGCAGUGCCUGUGCUGUGUGGGAGUGCCUUGAAAAACAAGGGUGUUCAGCCCUUGCUGGAUGCCAUUACUAUGUACUUGCCAUCACCUGAAGAACGCGAGUACGGGUUUCUGCAGUGGUAUAAGGGUGACUUGUGUGCACUGGCAUUUAAAGUGCUGCAUGACAAGCAGCGGGGACCCCUGGUUUUCCUGCGCAUUUACUCGGGCACACUGACGCCCCAGUUGGCCAUCCAUAACAUUAAUAGAAACUGCACGGAGAGAAUGAGUCGUCUGCUUUUGCCAUUUGCUGACCAACAUGUAGAAAUCCCUUCCCUGACUGCUGGUAACAUCGCUUUGACAGUUGGACUUAAACAAACUGCCACUGGAGACACCAUUGUUUCUUCCAAGUCCAGUGCCUUAGCUGCAGCCCGUCGAGCAGGAAGAGGAGAAAAGAAACCUGGGAAAAACAGUGAAACAGAGAGUCUGCUGUUGGCUGGGGUAGAGAUUCCAGAGCCUGUUUUCUUCUGCACCAUAGAACCACCAUCAGUGGCUAAGCAGCCAGAUUUGGAUCAUGCCUUGGAACGCCUUCAGCGUGAAGAUCCCAGUUUGAAAGUGAGGCUUGAUCCUGACUCUGGACAAACAGUCCUGUGUGGUAUGGGGGAGUUACAUAUUGAGAUUAUUCAUGACCGAAUCAAGAGGGAGUAUGGCUUAGACACCUAUCUAGGGCCUCUGCAGGUGGCAUACCGGGAAACCAUCUUAAACUCAGUUCGUGCCACAGAUACCCUAGACCGGACUCUAGGAGACAAGCGGCAUUUUGUGAGAGCAGAACUGGAAGCCCGGCCAGUAGAAGCAUCAUCUGGCAUGGCCGUGAUUGAGUAUGCUGACUGUAUCAGUGUAGACCUACUGCAGGCCUCCCGUGAGGCCAUUGAAAAUGCAGUGCACAGUGCAUGCCUCCAGGGACCUUUACUUGGAUCCCCAGUUCAAGAUGUGGCAAUAACAUUACACUCAUUGAUGAUUCACCCUGGUACCUCCACAACUAUGGUUAAUGCCUGUGUCUCAAGAUGUAUCCAAAAGGCCCUGAAGAAAGCUGACAAGCAAGUCCUGGAGCCACUGAUGAGUCUUGAGGUCACAGUGACUGGAGAUUACCUCAGCCCUGUCCUGGCAGAUUUGGCACAAAGAAGAGGGAACGUUCAGGAAAUUCAGACUCGCCAGGACAACAAAGUUGUUAUAGGAUUUGUUCCUUUAGCAGAGAUGAUGGGAUAUUCAACUGUGCUUCGAACGCUGACAUCAGGCUCGGCUACUUUUGCUUUAGAAUUCUCUACUUAUCAAGCCAUGAGUCCUCAAGACCAAAGUACUCUACUCACCCAGAGAAGUGGUUUGGCUCAUGUGCUUUAGGACCUUGGGAACAUGGAUUAAUGCCUGGAAAAGCACGGGCUGCUUCAUUCUCAGAAAGAGUUCAGCAGUGAAGAAAUGGAGCCCUCCAGCCCUUCCUCCAUCCAACCUCACUGCUGAUGAACACCCAACUUUUAAAUAGGUGCUCAGACUGGUACAGCAAGCAGUCUCACCCACUGAGCCAUCACUACAGCCCUGAGUGGAGUUUUCACAGUUCUUACCUCUACUUUAUCAUCAAAAACCUCUUGCCAAACAAUGGAGCCUUUUUUCAAGGAUGUAAUAAUAUCCAAAAUGCUAAAAUUGGAAACAUUGACAGUUAUUUAGGAUCACAAAGUUAACGCUCUUCAACAUGCAUGUUUUCUACCAGGAACAGCUUGCAACGUUGACAAGUACUGUACCUCACGAUAACAUAGCAAUACAGAACCAGCUAAAGUUGGGUAGGAGGCAAGGUAGAGAGACAGGCCAAGGUUAAGGGGCUUGGGAAAUGGAAAGAAUUCUUUGGCCUUAAGACAACCUGAGAUAUGUCUUGCUGGCUAGAGACUGCCUCCAAAGAAACUACACAGAAAGUAUGCUACCUUAAAAUACCAAGAUUAUUAAGGCAAGAUUAUUAAGAUUAGUGCCAUACUCAGGAUAAAAACAUUUCUUACCCUUUUAUAGAAAACCUGACUUAAUUUUUAAAUAUUGAUCCAUAUUUUUGUCUUCCUCAUAUGUAAGCUUCCCCUUAUCUUAUAGAUCACCUCUUUAAACAAUGUAAUCCCAAAGUCCUCCAAUCACGUCCAUAGCCUCUACUGAACCACUUAGGUACUGCCCCCCUGACCGAAAUCUUCCUGGAUGCAUCUGCCCUUCUAAUUGAACUCAAGUAUUUCACUGUGACUUGUGAGAGUCAGCCACACAUGAAUGGAGAUCCCUCAGGAGUUGCCUCAGGGCAGACAACUUCGAACCUGAGCUUUGUUCCCCAUGCUUGUGACACAUUUCUACAGAACAGUGGUUCGCAAUCUUUGUAAUGCCACUUUAAUACUGUUCCUCGUGUUGUGACCUCCAACCAUAAAAUUAUUAUUGUUGCCACUUCAGAACUGUAAUAUUGCUGCUGUUAGGAACUGUAAUGUAAAUAUCUGAUGUUUCCAAUGGCCUUAAUCCACAGGUUGGAAGAAAGGAAACUGACACCUAGCCUGACAUGUCACGUCAAUAAUGUUCAGUUAUUAGCUGGCACACAUACUUAGUUAGGCAAUAACAAACACUUCAAAGGGUAAAUAAGAAAGAAAACAUCACACAAAAAGCUAAAUAGGAAGGAACAGAUGAACUCUGAGCCUCCCAAAUGGAUAGAGCAGAGCAGAACUUGGAAAACCACAGCAUGCAGCCUUUUUUCUAUGGCUGACAAGCUAAGAAUGGUUGUUGAAUUUGCAAAGCGUUCUCUCUCUCUAUGUGUGUC